rnacentral:rRNA from 1 species
UACGUAGGUGGCAAGCGUUGUCCGGAUUUAUUGGGUUUAAAGGGUGCGUAGGCGGCCAACUAAGUCAGACGUGAAAUCCCUCGGCUUAACCGGGGAACUGCGUCUGAUACUGGAUGGCUUGAGUUUGGGAGAGGGAUGCGGAAUUCCAGGUGUAGCGGUGAAAUGCGUAGAUAUCUGGAGGAAUACCGGUGGCGAAGGCGGCAUCCUGGACCGGCAUUGACGCUGAGGAGCGAAAGCCAGGGGAGCAAACGGG